rnacentral:rRNA from 1 species
GAUGAACGCUGGCGGCGUGCCUAAUACAUGCAAGUCGAACGAUAGCUUUCAGCAAUGGAAGUGAGAGUGGCGAACGGGUGAGUAACACAUGGCUGACCUGCCCUUCAGAGGGGGACAACUGCUGGAAACGGCAGCUAAUACCCCAUACGCUCGAGAGGAUUAGAAGCCUUUUGAGGAAAGCCUACGGGUGCUGAAGGAGGGGGCUGUGGCCCAUCAGCUAGUUGGUAAGGUAACGGCUUACCAAGGCGAGGACGGGUAGGGGGCCUGAGAGGGUGACCCCCCACACGGGCACUGAGAUACGGGCCCGACUCCUACGGGAGGCAG